CCUGAGCUCUCGCGCCUGGGAGCCGCGACUACUGACGCCCGUGCACCCUACGGCCCUCUGCAGCAAGAGGAGCUGUCGCGAUGAGAAGCCCGCACGCCACAGCCAGAGAGCAGCCCCGCCUCUGCAGCUGGAGAAAAACCUGAUCAGCAAUGAAGACUCAGCAGAGCCGGAAAGAAAGAAAGAAAGAACAGCACUGCACAUGUUAAUGUUACGAAGAUCUUUUCACCAUCUGAGCCACCUUGGAAGCCCCAAAAGAAGAUGCUAUCUAUGUGUAAAGGUGGAGGAAAGGAAUCCAGGCAGAGGAUACAUGAGCCAGGAAAGGACCUGAUGAGUUCCAGCCAAGGAAACCACUGAAUUAAGAUAAGGAGUUUUUAAAAACUAUCGCAGAGGUUCAGUUCUAGCUGCAAUCAAGUGAGCACACUGACGCAUUCCACCCUCUUCCUCCCACUGACUGCAGCGAUGAAACCUGCAUACACUAACUGAAGCAUCUGAGGGCUCUGAAGGUGAAUAGUAGCGGUCAGAUUGCAGAAGAGGCCCAAGAUGAAACGAAUAGGGCCCCAAGGACUGAAAGGAGAUCAAACCAGUCAAUCCCAAAGGAAAUCAACCCUGAGAAUUCAUUGGAAGGACCAAUGCUGAAGCUAAAGCUCCAAUACUUUGGCCACCUGAUGUGAAAAGCCGAC
ensembl:lncRNA